UACGUAGGGGGCAAGCGUUGUCCGGAUUUACUGGGCGUAAAGAGCGUGUAGGCGGCCAAACAGGUCCGUUGUGAAAACUGGAGGCUCAACCUUCAGAGGUCGACCCAAACCCCCCUGGCUAGAGUCCGGAAGAGGAGAGUGGAAUUCCUGGUGUAGCGGUGAAAUGCGCAGAUAUCAGGAAGAACACCCGUGGCGAAGGCGGCUCUCUGGGACGGUACUGACGCUGAGACGCGAAAGCGUGGGGAGCGAACAGG
rnacentral:rRNA from 1 species